rnacentral:rRNA from 1 species
AUUGAACGCUGGCGGCAUGCCUUACACAUGCAAGUCGAACGGUAACGGGCCUUCGGGUGCCGACGAGUGGCGAACGGGUGAGUAAUACAUCGGAACGUGCCCGAUCGUGGGGGAUAACGAGGCGAAAGCUUUGCUAAUACCGCAUACGAUCUACGGAUGAAAGCAGGGGACCGCAAGGCCUUGCGCGGACGGAGCGGCCGAUGGCAGAUUAGGUAGUUGGUGGGAUAAAAGCUUACCAAGCCGACGAUCUGUAGCUGGUCUGAGAGGAUGAUCAGCCACACUGGGACUGAGACACGGCCCAGACUCCUACGGGAGGCAGCAGUGGGGAAUUUUGGACAAUGGGCGCAAGCCUGAUCCAGCCAUGCCGCGUGCAGGAUGAAGGCCUUCGGGUUGUAAACUGCUUUUGUACGGAACGAGAAGCCUUCUUCUAAUACAGGAGGGUCAUGACGGUACCGUAAGAAUAAGCACCGGCUAACUACGUGCCAGCAGCCGCGGUAA